rnacentral:rRNA from 1 species
UACGGAGGGUGCAAGCGUUAUCCGGAUUCACUGGGUUUAAAGGGUGCGUAGGUGGGUCUGUAAGUCAGUGGUGAAAUCUCCGGGCUUAACCCGUAAACUGCCAUUGAUACUACAGGUCUUGAAUUUUCCGGAGGUAAGCGGAAUAUGUCAUGUAGCGGUGAAAUGCUUAGAUAUGACAUAGAACACCAAUUGCGAAGGCAGCUUACUACAGGAACAUUGACACUGAGGCACGAAAGCGUGGGGAUCAAACAGG